GUGACGUCUCUCUGGCUGCUGGCUGUGUGAUGCUGGCAGUGACACUGCCUGAGACUUCUGAGAAAAACACAGGUGAUGCUGGUUCCACAAUUGCUCUUGGACACUUUGGAGGAGCUGAAUGAACAUGAUUUUACAAAGUUUAAAUGGUUCCUUGCUCUGAACGUAUGGAACAACCUUAAACAAAUGGCAAAGUGCUAUCUGGAAAGCCCACACCGGCAUGAUGCUGUGAGUAGGAUGAUCGAGAGCUACGGUGAAGAAAUGGCUGUGGGCGUGACUGCUGAGAUCCUGAAGAGGAUGAAUCACAACAACACUGCAGAGAAGUUAAAGAAAGCUUACACAGAAGGAGCAGUAGUUAAGGAAAAUAUCUGUCAUCCACUUACAACCUCCUCAUCUGAUUUGGCUCUUCUAAAUCAUCCAGCUGGUUUGAAAAUCCCUGCUGGUGAUGCCAUCACUCCUAAGGCCACAACUGCCACCAGUAUAAGUGUGAUUGUCAGUGGUUCGAUUAAUGGAUCCAUUAUAACAGCCCCAAUAGUUAACCAUCAUUACCAUUUCAACCAAAACUGACUGUCUGCUGUCUGUUUUAAAAACUUUACAAAGGCAUUGUUUGAUUCACAAACUACAAAUGUGUUUAUGUUUACAGCUGAAUUAGUGUUGUUAAAGUAGAUAUAACAAAGUAUUUAAGUACACAUCUGAGGUACUUUAUUGACAUAUAGCACAACAUUUACCUUUUUCUCUACUAAUGACUUAAUGUGCUUUGUACAGAUUAAAGUAUCAGCAAUAAUAAUCAUGGGUCAUUCUUCUGCUUUGAAUGUGUUACUACAGGCAACAUUUGAAAUGUAUUAAAUCAUUCUCUUGCUGAAUCAGUAAAAACAUUUAAAUCAUAAAGCCUUUUAUUCAUGUGAGGCCAAAGUUUUAUUUUUACAGUUACAAAAUGUUUGUAUGUGUUUUGUUCUGGUUUAUUUCAUUCUGUUUAAUCUUAUUUGAUUAGUCCUGUGUUGUUUUGAUUUUGAAUUUCACGUGUACUGUGAAGUACUUUGUAACCUUU